rnacentral:rRNA from 1 species
UAAGGAAUAUUGCUCAAUGGGAGAAAUCCUGAAGCAGCAACGCCGCGUGGAGGAUGAAGGGUCUAUAACUUGUAAACUCCUGUAAAGAAGGAAAAAAUUCCCAUUAGAUGGGAGAUGAUGGUACUUCUGGAGUAAGCCCCGGCUAACUACGUGCCAGCAGCCGCGGUAAUACGUAGGUGGCAAGCGUUGUCCGGAAUUACUGGGCGUAAAGGAUGCGUAGGCGGAUAUUUAAGUCAGAUGUGAAAUCCCCGGGCUUAACUUGGGGGCUGCAUUUGAAACUGGGUAUCUAGAGUGCAGGAGAGGUAAGUGGAAUUCCUAGUGUAGCGGUGAAAUGCGUAGAGAUUAGGAAGAACACCAGUGGCGAAGGCGACUUACUGGACUGUAACUGACGCUGAGGCAUGAAAGCGUGGGGAGCAAACA